CACACCGCCCGUCACACCAUGGAAGUCUGCUGCACCAGAAGUAGGUAGUCUAACCGCAAGGGGGGACGCCUACCACGGUGUGGCCGAUGACUGGGGUGAAGUCGUAACAAGGUACCC
rnacentral:rRNA from 1 species